UACGAAGGGUGCUAGCGUUGCUCGGAAUUACUGGGCGUAAAGCGCACGUAGGCGGAUUGUUAAGUCGGGGGUGAAAUCCUGGAGCUCAACUCCAGAACUGCCUUCGAAACUGGCGAUCUUGAGUCCGGGAGAGGUGAGUGGAACUGCGAGUGUAGAGGUGAAAUUCGUAGAUAUUCGCAAGAACACCAGUGGCGAAGGCGGCUCACUGGCCCGGUACUGACGCUGAGGUGCGAAAGCGUGGGGAGCAAACAGG
rnacentral:rRNA from 1 species